rnacentral:ncRNA from 2 species
AACUAAAUAAAAUAAACAGGUGCCUUAACAGGAGAAUAGGGAAAUUCGGAGGUUGGCACUCAGCAUUGCCGUAAAGGUAAGCUUUGGGCGGUAUCCUAGCUUAAAAUACUGAGUGUCACCCCAAACGGUGCGGUCCCGCCACUGUAGUCGGAGAGCUGGUUUAAAGCUGGUCACUGGGCGCCACCCUGGGAAGGCCUGAACAAAAAGCGAUGAUCCGUUAGCCAGGAGACCUGCCUGUUUAUUGAAAAAAUA